UAAUUAUUUCAUCUUCUCAAAGUCUAGAAGCUCAUUCAUUAAUUAUUGCCAAUUUACUUUAUGCAAAUUUUAGUAGAACUCGUGAAAUAGAUCUAAUUCAGAUAUUCUGAAUUCCAUAUGCCUACAAAUCUAUUUAUCCGUUUUAUAUAUGAAAAACAUAGUCAUUUUAUCACUAUUUGUGGAGCAAAAUGUCCUCCAGCCCACCUUGUUUCUCGAUCCGACCCAAAUCUUUACCCCCACGGAAAAUCAGAACAAAGGCAAUACCCAUCCAGAUUCCCCAACUUUCUCUUAUAGCGAUACAGUGACGGUGACGGCGCAAAGACGCGUGAACGUCUCCAGCAAUGCCCUGCCAUCCUCGUCCUUCCCACACGAGAGCGAGUUAACGAAAGUGGCGGCCAACGGUCAAAAAGGAUGACGGAAUAGAUGGCGACGUUGACAGAGGGCAUGCGAUGGCACGCGUGAACAAAACCUGUCACUCCGGUACGCGCUCUAAUCCUCUCCACGCGCGGGCAAGUUCACGGAAGGCGUCAAUUUACAUGGAAAGCAGCGAAUGGCCGGAGAGAGUACGAUUUGAUUUUGUUUUCUUCUCCUUGUUGAUAUCGAAUCGUACGGUUGUGCAACUUUGGCCACGAUUCCAGCUAUUGUUGCGUCCUUGAUAGCGUAGGAUGGAGCCACGUUGCUCCGUCAAGGACGAUCGAUCCGAUGUAGUCGUUAGUCCGCCCUUCUUUUUCUGGAAUGGGACAAGAACCUCAAAAAAGGUGUGUUCGUCCAAAUACAGCGAGGUUUGGGGAAUUAAAAAAAAUUCAAAAGGGGGCUUGAAAGUUCAAUUUUUUCCUCGCCUUUCCCCCCAAUCCAAAAACCCUAACCCUUUUUCUAUAUAUUCUCGUUUCUCCAUCAAGUCAAGGGAUUUUUUUUUGGGACGGAUUAUUUUUUUUGAGGAUUUUGGAGGCAGGGACUACGGGUUUUUUUUUGGGGGGGGGGGGGGGAAUCUUGUUGGACGAUUGGAAUGUUUUCUGAUUUUGAUUCUCGUUUUUUUUAAAAAAAAAAAAGGGUUACAGAGAGAGGAAUUUUGGAGGAGCUUGUUAUAUUUUUCUUGUUGAAAGAAAAGUUGAGCAAAAGUCUUAGAGUUUGUUUCUUCAUCUUGGAAGUUUCUUAAGAGCAAAGACAUUGAGAAAACAUAUAAGGCAAAGUAGCCACAAGACAUAGAACACACAUUCAAGGAAAGGAAAGGGAAGGGAACUAGUUACUGUCCAAGUUUCUCUCUUCUCCCAUAGUUCGUCCUCACCUUUCUAAGGUUCCUUAGAGUUCAAAAUUCCGCCCUCAGACUCGCUUAUUUGCAGGUUAGUGUGCGCAUUUUAGUGUUGACAGCUAGACAUUACCCCUGCUCGUCGUUCUCCUUAGUUCGCUGCAUUUUGAAAGUCUAUGACAGGUAAGGAAAAUAGGGGUCAAAGGCCUAAAAUGAAAAUGGGUCAGAAAACCCAAAAUAGGUCCAGGUGAACAGAUGAUCCGGAUUUGGACCAAAAUAUCUUUCUCCCUCUCUCUCUUUACUUGCUUUUUAUUACUUAUCUGUUUUACUUGUCGUUAGUUCUAAA